rnacentral:lncRNA from 1 species
GGAUGCAUGGUACUUUGACAGUGGAUGCUCUUGACACAUGACCGGAGAUAGCAGUGUCCUAACCGAAAUUGUUCAAAAAAUUGGGAGAAAAGUUAUCUUUGGUGACAGAAAGAAAGGAAAGAUCCAAAGAAUUAGGACAAUAAACAGUUCAGAACAACCAUAACUAUUCAGUGUCUAUCUGGUUGAAGGAUUAAGAUUAAAU